GAUGAAGCCCAGCUUGCUGGGUGGAUUAGUGGCGAACGGGUGAGUAACACGUGAGUAACCUGCCCUUAACUCUGGGAUAAGCCUGGGAAACUGGGUCUAAUACCGGAUAGGAGCGUCCACCGCAUGGUGGGUGUUGGAAAGAUUUAUCGGUUUUGGAUGGACUCGCGGCCUAUCAGCUUGUUGGUGAGGUAAUGGCUCACCAAGGCGACGACGGGUAGCCGGCCUGAGAGGGUGACCGGCCACACUGGGACUGAGACACGGCCCAGACUCCUACGGGAGGCAGCAGUGGGGAAUAUUGCACAAUGGGCGCAAGCCUGAUGCAGCGACGCCGCGUGAGGGAUGACGGCCUUCGGGUUGUAAACCUCUUUCAGUAGGGAAGAAGCGAAAGUGACGGUACCUGCAGAAGAAGCACCGGCUAACUACGUGCCAGCAGCCGCGGGUAAUACGUAGGGUGCGAGCGUUAUCCGGAAUUAUUGGGCGUAAAGAGCUCGUAGGCGGUUUGUCGCGUCUGUCGUGAAAGUCCGGGGCUUAACCCCGGAUCUGCGGUGGGGUACGGGCAGACUAGAGUGCAGUAGGGGAGACUGGAAUUCCUGGUGUAGCGGUGGAAUGCGCAGAUAUCAGGAGGAACACCGAUGGCGAAGGGCAGGUCUCUGGGCUGUAACUGACGCUGAGGAGCGAAAGCAUGGGGAGCGAACAGGAUUAGAUACCCUGGUAGUCCAUGCCGUAAACGUUGGGCACUAGGUGUGGGGACCAUUCCACGGUUUCCGCGCCGCAGCUAACGCAUUAAGUGCCCCGCCUGGGGAGUACGGCCGCAAGGCUAAAACUCAAAGGAAUUGACGGGGGCCCGCACAAGCGGCGGAGCAUGCGGAUUAAUUCGAUGCAACGCGAAGAACCUUACCAAGGCUUGACAUGUUCCCGAUCGCCGUAGAGAUACGGUUUCCCCUUUGGGGCGGGUUCACAGGUGGUGCAUGGUUGUCGUCAGCUCGUGUCGUGAGAUGUUGGGUUAAGUCCCGCAACGAGCGCAACCCUCGUUCCAUGUUGCCAGCACGUCGUGGUGGGGACUCAUGGGAGACUGCCGGGGUCAACUCGGAGGAAGGUGAGGACGACGUCAAAUCAUCAUGCCCCUUAUGUCUUGGGCUUCACGCAUGCUACAAUGGCCGGUACAAUGGGUUGCGAUACUGUGAGGUGGAGCUAAUCCCAAAAAGCCGGUCUCAGUUCGGAUUGGGGUCUGCAACUCGACCCCAUGAAGUCGGAGUCGCUAGUAAUCGCAGAUCAGCAACGCUGCGGUGAAUACGUUCCCGGGCCUUGUACACACCGCCCGUCAAGUCACGAAAGUUGGUAACACCCGAAGCCGGUGGCCUAACCCUUGUGGGGGGAGCCG
rnacentral:rRNA from 1 species